rnacentral:rRNA from 1 species
AACGAACGCUGGCGGCAGGCCUAACACAUGCAAGUCGAGCGAGGACUUCGGUUCUAGCGGCGGACGGGUGAGUAACGCGUGGGAAUGUGCCCUUCUCUACGGAAUAGCCCUGGGAAACUGGGAGUAAUACCGUAUACGCCCUAUUGGGGAAAGAUUUAUCGGAGAAGGAUCAGCCCGCGUUGGAUUAGGUAGUUGGUGGGGUAAUGGCCUACCAAGCCGACGAUCCAUAGCUGGUUUGAGAGGAUGAUCAGCCACACUGGGACUGACACGGCCCAGACUCCUACGGGAGGCAGCAGUGGGGAAUCUUAGACAAUGGGGGCAACCCUGAUCUAGCCAUGCCGCGUGAGUGAUGAAGGCCUUAGGGUUGUAAAGCUCUUUCAGCUGGGAAGAUAAUGACGGUACCAGCAGAAGAAGCCCCGGCUAACUCCGUG